rnacentral:rRNA from 1 species
AGUGAGUUUGAUCCUAGCUCAGGGUGAACGCUCGCGGCGUAGAUAAGGCAUGCAAGUCGAACGGGUGUAGUUUUUUUUAAAACUACAUUACGUGGCAAACGAGGCAGUAAUACAUAUCUAACCUACCCUGAAGACGAGAAUAACCUCCGAAAGGAGACUAAUUCUCGAUAUUCCUAUUUUUACACAAGUAGAAAUAGGGAAAGGAUAUAGCCUAUCGCUUCAGGAAGGGGAUAUGUCCGAUCAGCUAGUUGGUGGGGUAAUGGCCUACCAAGGCUAAGACCGGUAGGAGGCCUGAGAGGGUGUUCUCCGCCGUAGGCACUGAGACACGGGCCUAAUUCCUACGGGAAGCAGCAGCCGAGAAUAUUGGGCAAUGGGCGAAAGCCUGACCCAGUGACGCCGCGUGCCGGAAGAAGCCCUUCGGGGUGUAAACGGCUUUUGUAGGGGAGGAAGCCAUGAAUUAUUUAUGAUUUAUGGUUGACAGUACCCUACGAAUAAGGGACGACUAACUUCGUGCCAGCAGUCGCGGUAAGACGAAGGUCCCAAGCGUUACCCGGAUUUACUGGGCGUAAAGGGUGAAUAGGCGGAAGCAAAAGUUUCAUCUUAAAACUAACUGCUCAACAGUUAGGGUGGAUGAAAUACUUUGCUUCUAGAGAAUGGCAGAGGACAGCGGAACACACGGUGUAGGGGUGAAAUCCGUUGAUAUCGUGUGGAACGCCGAAGGCGAAGGCAGCUGUCUAGGUCAUUUCUGACGCUGAUUUCACGAAAGCUAGGGGCGCAAACCGGAUUAGAUACCCGGGUAGUCCUAGCUGUAAACUAUGGAUGCUAACUCUAGGGAGAUUCGACCCUCUCUGGGGUAAAGCUAACGCGUUAAGCAUCCCGCCUGGGAAGUACAACCGCAAGGUUGAAACUCAAAGGAAUAGGCGGAAGGCUGCACAAGCGGUGGACCAUGUGGUUUAAUUCGACAGUAACCGAAAAAUCUUACCUGGGCUUGACAUGCUUGUCUUAAUACCUAUUUUGAAAAAAAUAGGGAGUGUGUUUUUACACACGGGCAAGCACAGGUGCUGCAUGGCCGUCGUCAGCUCGUGGUGUGAAUCGUAACCUUAAGUGGCACAACGAGCGCAACCCUUGUCCUGUGUUAUAAGUAUCACAGGAGACUGCCGAGUAUAACUCGGAGGAAGGUGAGGAUGACGUCAGGUCCGCAUGGCCCUUAUGCCCAGGGCCACACACAUGGUACAAUGCCAGAUACAAUGGGUUGCAAAACCGUAAGGUGGAGCUAAUCCCAAAAGUCUGGCUAAGUUCGGAUUGGAGACUGAAACUCGUCUCCAUGAAGCCGGAAUCGCUAGUAAUCGCGGAUCAGCUAUGCCGCGGUGAAUACGUUCCCAGCCUUUGCACUCACUGCCCGUCAGGCCAGAGGAGUUGCUCUUACCUAAAAACCUAAUUUAAUUUAGGGAUAGGGUAAGAGUGAUGACUAGGGCUAAGUCGUAACAAGGUAUCGCUACCGGAAGGUGGCGAUGGACCAAUUC